AGAGUUUGAUCCUGGCUCAGAACGAACGCUGGCGGCAUGCCUAACACAUGCAAGUCGAACGAGACCUCCGGGUCUAGUGGCGCACGGGUGCGUAACGCGUGGGAAUCUGCCCUUGGGUUCGGGAUAACAGUUGGAAACGACUGCUAAUACCGAAUGAUAUCUUCGGAUCAAAGAUUUAUCGCCCAGGGAUGAGCCCGCGUAGGAUUAGCUUGUUGGUGAGGUAAGAGCUCACCAAGGCGACGAUCCUUAGCUGGUCUGAGAGGAUGAUCAGCCACACUGGGACUGAGACACGGCCCAGACUCCUACGGGAGGCAGCAGUGGGGAAUAUUGGACAAUGGGCGAAAGCCUGAUCCAGCAAUGCCGCGUGAGUGAUGAGGGCCUUAGGGUUGUAAAGCUCUUUUACCCGGGAUGAUAAUGACAGUACCGGGAGAAUAAGCCCCGGCUAACUCCGUG
rnacentral:rRNA from 1 species